rnacentral:lncRNA from 1 species
UUUCAAUCUUUUUUAAAUCUUAUGAUCCAUCACAUGGAUUGUCCCGACCGAGGUCUUAUUCAAUUGAAAUAUAGUGAUACAUCAACUCCUAAAAUACAGAGGGAUUAAUCCCAUCUUGAUCCAUACACCGACUACCACAAGUAUUUGACUGUGUUCAGAAAUCUUCCGUUACUGAAUUAGAAAUUUAGCUAGUUCGGCAUCAAAGCAUAGUGAGUUGCUUGCAAGUCACCAUGGUGAUCUCAGAUCGGAGGAACACUUAUGCCAAUAUUUUUCGUAAGUAGCUCUGGACAGCAAAGUGCUCUGUAGAUAAAUUACCUGUUCAAUGAUGAUGCAGUCCUAUAUCUCACUUGUAUGCCAUACUAGUAUCUCCACACUCCUUGGUUAAG